GACGAACGCUGGCGGCGUGCCUAAUACAUGCAAGUUGAGCGCUGAAGGUUGGUACUUGUACCGACUGGAUGAGCAGCGAACGGGUGAGUAACGCGUGGGGAAUCUGCCUUUGAGCGGGGGACAACAUUUGGAAACGAAUGCUAAUACCGCAUAAAAACUUUAAACACAAGUUUUAAGUUUGAAAGAUGCAAUUGCAUCACUCAAAGAUGAUCCCGCGUUGUAUUAGCUAGUUGGUGAGGUAAAGGCUCACCAAGGCGAUGAUACAUAGCCGACCUGAGAGGGUGAUCGGCCACAUUGGGACUGAGACACGGCCCAAACUCCUACGGGAGGCAGCAGUAGGGAAUCUUCGGCAAUGGACGAAAGUCUGACCGAGCAACGCCGCGUGAGUGAAGAAGGUUUUCGGAUCGUAAAACUCUGUUGGUAGAGAAGAACGUUGGUGAGAGUGGAAAGCUCAUCAAGUGACGGUAACUACCCAGAAAGGGACGGCUAACUACUU
rnacentral:rRNA from 1 species